UACAGAGGGUGCGAGCGUUGCUCGGAAUCACUGGGCGUAAAGGGUGCGUAGGCGGGUCUUUAAGUCAGAGGUGAAAUCCUGGAGCUCAACUCCAGAACUGCCUUUGAUACUGAGGAUCUUGAGUUCGGGAGAGGUGAGUGGAACUGCGAGUGUAGAGGUGAAAUUCGUAGAUAUUCGCAAGAACACCAGUGGCGAAGGCGGCUCACUGGCCCGAUACUGACGCUGAGGCACGAAAGCGUGGGGAGCAAACAGG
rnacentral:rRNA from 1 species